GUCUGUCUACACGCCACCAUGUCCUGCCAUGAUGAUAAUGGACUGGACCUCUGAAACUGCUCGUGUUUUGAGCGAGCACUGUUCCCAGCUGGUGGCACUAUUUUGGAGCCUGUGGACAGUUGAAGAGGGCUGUGAUGUGGAGAGUCUGCACUGAGUGCCACCACCACUGUGAACGGAGUCACCCGGCCAUACCUUCCCCAAGAAGAUGGACCCUAACUAAUGCUUGACACAAACAAACAAAAACCAGCUUUCUUUCCUUGGCUUGUUUCCACUAGGUAUUUUGUGACAAUAAGAACAAAGUAGCCAGGCUGGAGAGAUGGCUCAGAGGUUAAGAGCACCAACUGCUCUUCCAGAGGUCCUGAGUUCAAUUCCCAGCAACCACAU